rnacentral:rRNA from 1 species
GGGGAUAAUCGGGAGAAAUCCCGUCUAAUACCGCGUAAUGCCGCGGGGCUGCAUGGCCCUGCGGCCAAAGGGAGCGAUUCCGGCAACGGAUGGGCAUGCGUGACAUUAGCUAGUUGGCGGGGCAACGGCCCACCAAGGCGACGAUGUCUAGGGGUUCUGAGAGGAAGGUCCCCCACACUGGUACUGAGACACGGACCAGACUCCUACGGGAGGCAGCAGUGAGGAAUAUUGGUCAAUGGGCGCGAGCCUGAACCAGCCAAGUCGCGUGAGGGAUGACGGCCCUACGGGUUGUAAACCUCUUUUGUCGGGGAGCAAAUUCCGCCACGUGUGGCGGAGUCGAGAGUACCCGAAGAAAAAGCAUCGGCUAACCCCGUGCCAGCAGCCGCGGUAAUACGGAGGAUGCGAGCGUUAUCCGGAUUUAUUGGGUUUAAAGGGUGCGUAGGCGGACUGUCAAGUCAGCGGUAAAAUACGGGGGCUCAACCUCCGCCCGCCGUUGAAACUGACGGUCUUGAGUGGGCGAGAAGUAUGCGGAAUGCGUGGUGUAGCGGUGAAAUGCAUAGAUAUCACGCAGAACUCCGAUUGCGAAGGCAGCAUACCGGCGCCCGACUGACGCUGAAGCACGAAAGCGUGGGUAUCGAACAGGAUUAGAUACCCUGGUAGUCCACGCAGUAAACGAUGAA